rnacentral:tRNA from 1 species
UCCGACGAGGCGGACUCGAACCACCGACCCAAGGAUCAACGCACGACCGGCACAGCCCUCCGCUCUACCAACUGAGCUACCGCCGG